rnacentral:rRNA from 1 species
GAUGAACGCUGGCGGCGUGCCUAAUACAUGCAAGUCGAACGAGGUGCUUGAGUAGCAAUACGAGAGUAUCCUAGUGGCGAACGGGUGAGUAACGCGUGGAUGACCUGCCCCAAAGUGUGGGAUAACAGUCCGAAAGGAUUGCUAAUACCUCAUGUGGUUAGCGGGUUUAGAAACUGAUAACUAAAGCAGCAAUGCGCUUUGGGAGGGAUCUGCGUCCCAUCAGCUAGUUGGUGAGGUAACGGCUCACCAAGGCGACGACGGGUAGGGGACCUGAGAGGGUGGCCCCCCACAAUGGAACUGAAACACGGUCCAUACACCUACGGGUGGCAGCAGUAGGGAAUAUUGCUCAAUGGGCGAAAGCCUGAAGCAGCAACGCCGCGUGUGCGAUGAAGGCCUUCGGGUCGUAAAGCACUUUUCUAAGAGAUGAGAAAGGACAGUAUCUUAGGAAUAAGUCUCGGCUAACUACGUGCCAGCCGCCGCGGUAAAAC